rnacentral:miRNA from 1 species
GAGGGCAGAUUAUUUCUGAUAC